rnacentral:rRNA from 1 species
AUUGAACGCUGGCGGCAGGCCUGACACAUGCAAGUCGAGCGGAUGAAGGGAGCUUGCUCCUGGAUUCAGCGGCGGACGGGUGAGUAAUGCCUAGGAAUCUGCCUGGUAGUGGGGGAUAACGUCCGGAAACGGGCGCUAAUACCGCAUACGUCCUGAGGGAGAAAGUGGGGGAUCUUCGGACCUCACGCUAUCAGAUGAGCCUAGGUCGGAUUAGCUAGUUGGUGGGGUAAAGGCCUACCAAGGCGACGAUCCGUAACUGGUCUGAGAGGAUGAUCAGUCACACUGGAACUGAGACACGGUCCAGACUCCUACGGGAGGCAGCAGUGGGGAAUAUUGGACAAUGGGCGAAAGCCUGAUCCAGCCAUGCCGCGUGUGUGAAGAAGGUCUUCGGAUUGUAAAGCACUUUAAGUUGGGAGGAAGGGCAGUAAGUUAAUACCUUGCUGUUUUGACGUUACCAACAGAAUAAGCACCGGCUAACUUCGU